rnacentral:rRNA from 2 species
UACAGAGGUCUCAAGCGUUGUUCGGAUUUAUUGGGCGUAAAGGGUGCGCAGGCGGUGUGGUAAGUUUGGUGUGAAAUCCUGGGGCUCAACCCCAGAAAUGCACUGAAUACUGCCAUGCUAGAGGACUGGAGAGGAGAUUGGAAUUCACGGUGUAGCAGUGAAAUGCGUAGAUAUCGUGAGGAAGACCAGUGGCGAAGGCGAAUCUCUGGACAGUUCCUGACGCUCAUGCACGAAGGCUAGGGGAGCAAACGGG